rnacentral:rRNA from 1 species
CCUACGGGUGGCUGCAGUGGGGAAUAUUGGACAAUGGGGGCAACCCUGAUCCAGCCAUGCCGCGUGUGUGAAGAAGGCCCUCGGGUUGUAAAGCACUUUCAGUGAGGAAGAACGCCUGGUGGUUAAUACCCAUCAGGAAAGACAUCACUCACAGAAGAAGCACCAGCUAACUCCGUGCCAGCAGCCGCGGUAAUACGGAGGGUGCGAGCGUUAAUCGGAAUUACUGGGCGUAAAGCGCGCGUAGGUGGCUUGAUAAGCCGGUUGUGAAAGCCCCGGGCUCAACCUGGGAACGGCAUCCGGAACUGUCAAGCUAGAGUGCAGGAGAGGAAGGUAGAAUUCCCGGUGUAGCGGUGAAAUGCGUAGAGAUCGGGAGGAAUACCAGUGGCGAAGGCGGCCUUCUGGACUGACACUGACACUGAGGUGCGAAAGCGUGGGUAGCAAACAGGAUUAGAUACCCUAGUAGUC